AAGAAAAGCAGGUCAUGUAGUCAUAUGUAGCUUUAAAAUACUACAAAAGGAAAAUUAUAUCAUAUGCCUGGAAACCAUGAAUGACAAGCAAAAUAGUCAUUUAAAUAAAUACCAGUUUCAAGCUAUUUUUCAACUUGGUGUUGAAACCAAGAUCCCAUUCCAAAUGUCUUUGAUGAGAAAUUCAUCAGGGCCAGCAGUGAUUAUAUUUCAAUUCGUUAUUAAAACUUAACUCACUAAAUUAAGGGAGUGGUACAAAUACCUGGCAAAAACACACUGGCCUCCUGUUGUUGGUCAAAGAAUGUAUAAGCAUUGUGGACCAACCAGGGGCCCACACUUGAGCUGAUCACACACUGCUGAACCCAAAUUUUCAUCUACAGGAUACACUGUCCCUAAUCCCUUGAGAAAUCUAGGAAUUGAGUAAAAACUGCUUGACUUCUUCUGGACAUUGCAUAUUAACUCUUAAUUUCUUCCACCACCAUGAGGUCGAUUAUUGACUUGCUGCAUACCAGGAGAUUGGAGCCAGUUUGGUGGUUCUUGGUACUUCCUCCAAUCCGUUCUGGGGGAGUUCUCUAACAGUGUUGUUUUGUAUUUACUACCAUCCACUAACAAUCAAGGUUAAGAAAGUGACAUAUUGUACAUAAUUAAUUACAAUUAAUUCAUGGGUGAUAUUUAGCACUGUUUUCCUUUAAACUAAGAUAGAGCAGACUAAAAGUGCUUCUUUAUGACUGGGAGGGGAUCUUCUAAAUAUUCCAACACAGAUGGGAUCAUUUAUUUUAUUUUAUUUUUUAAAAUGAUUUGUUUAUUUGAAAGACAGAGAGAGCGAGAGUGAGAGAGUGAGAGCAAGAGAGAGAGAGAGAAAGGAAGAGGAAGAGAGAUCAUCCAUCCACUGGUUCACUCCCAAAUGGCUUCAACAGCUGGAGCUGAGCAGGUUUGAAGCUGGGAGUCAGAAGUUUCUUCCAGGUCUUCCACAGGGGUGCAAGGGCCCAAGAACUUGGACCAUCUUCCGCUGCUUUGGCAGGUGAAUUAGUAGGGAGUUGGGUCAGAAGUGGAGUGGCUGGGACUCGAACUGGUGCUCAUAUGGGAUCUGGAACUGCAGGCUGCAGCUUUACCUACUAUAACACAGUGUUAGCCCCAUGGUGGAAUAUAUUUAUUUAUACUUUGAAUUAUCAUGAUUUGCACCUAUUUUAUAAUAUUGGUUAUGAAUAUUAAUGUAAGAAGACUUAAGAAUU
rnacentral:lncRNA from 1 species